CUUUGGGUGUGUUUUUGAGAUUGGCCCUGUUUUUAGGGCAGAAAACUCCUUCACACAUAGGCAUUUGUGUGAAUUUACUGGCCUUGAUGUUGAAAUGGAGAUUAAGAAGCACUAUUGUGAGGUUGGAUUGGAUACUUUUUCAUUUAACUGAAUUUUCAGUUUAGCUUAACGAACUAAACGUUUAUGUGCAGGUAAUGGACAUUGUGGACAAGUUGUUCGUUACAAUGUUCGACUCAUUGAAGGCGAGUUGCAAGAAAGAACUUGAAGCUAUUGGAAGACAAUACCCCUUUGAACCUUUAAAGUACUUGAGAAAGACCUUGUGGCUUACUUUUCAAGAAGAUGUUCAAAUGCUCAAGGGCUGAUUUUGUUGGUUGUUUUGAUAUUCGCGAAAAUGGAGGAUCUCGUGGCUUUGUUUGAGCCCAUUGCAUUGUCUCCGUCGGAGUCUUCGAUAAUAUUGCUACUCCUGGUUUUCUCAUGUUUGCUUUAAGCUGGUUUGGUUUUGUUGUCUCUGUUUUUUCUCUCUUUUGACUGUUCUCCUUUCGGCUCUACUAUAGCUCAUAGCAUCUGAAUAUAUUUUACUCGUAUUCUUGCAAUGCAAAGGAAAAGAGGCAAUAGAUUCUAAGAAGCAAAUGUGAUUUGGUAUGUUAACCUAUAUUGGCAUAUUGUAUUGGGCUACAUAGCUUAGCUGGGUCAAAACUGAUGUGAUUGGUUCCAUCUUUUUCCUCUCCUUGCUUUUAGUCGUGGGGCUUGGGUUUUUGAGGAUGGGAAUGAAUGGGGCAAUCAAGAGUCCAAAACCCCUCUUUUGUCUUCUGGUCUUGGGGGUUGCACCAGGUGUUAUUUGCUUUUUUAGAAAAUACCCUGUGGGAGAAUUAUGGCUUCAUUCAAAAUGAUUGAUUAUUUGAAUGCAGUGAUACCUGCUUAGAAUCAUGCAUUUGUGGAAAGUCAUGUGUAUUGUUCUUUGCACAUUGCGGGUGCUGGAAGCACUCCACUUCAUUAUGCUGCUUGUGGUGGAAGUGUGCAGUGUUGUCAGGUAUUUUGUGGUAGCUAAAAGAUAAAUAGCAUCCAAUAUCAUUCUUUAUUUUGUUCAUGUCACUUACAUAAAUGUUUUUUUUGUGGUGGAAGUGUGCAGUUGUGGAUAGUGAACCAGUUUGGAACACCUACGUUGCACCUUUGUUUCUUUACUUCUAUUAGAUUUAUCACUGAAAGUGAA